UGGGACCGUGUUUCGGCUUCAGCAUAAGCUGCUAUUGUGCAAUGAAUGUCAGUUGCUUCGUUCCAGCCUUUCGAUUAUUUGUGAUGCGGCGGAAUAAAGCUCCGCAAGCACGCAUAGGGUGCGAUAAAACACAGCGCAUUGCGAUAAACGCAGUGUUCGCUGCUAGCUUUAGCGACCAACUCUGCGGCAUGGAGACCGGAAGGAAAGAAGCACGAGUGUCUGUACGUGCCGAUAGGGGGCGUCUGCAACCGAUCCUCCUUCGUGUACUACUACUCGCCAUUCGAAGGUGACUGCAAGAAAUGGGACGGCUGCCUGGGACGAGGGCUCUACUUCUCCAGGCCUCGCUGCGAGAGGGCCUGCAGAGAUGCUCCACACGGCAUUUGCGCUCUGGAGAAGGACGAGGGCACCUUCGGCGUUCCGCCGUUCGAGAAGAAGUACUUCUACAACCAGAUCACCCAGCAGUGCGAGACCUUCGGGUACCAAGGAAACGGGGAGGAGAAGAGCAGGGCCAACCGGUUCGACGACGAGCAUGAGUGCCACGUUAAGUGCGGACGUUCUUAUAGAGAGGAGAAUGCAAUAAGCAACGUCACGGACAGGGUCUCACGUGGCCACCCGACUAUUAUUCGUAAUGCCCCGGAAGCAUCCG